AGGCGCUCACACCAGCCUCCUCGCCCUGUUUGUGCUCGCGGCUUGCGCUGUGGCGCAGCCUCCCGUGGCCGCGGGGACUCUCAGAACGCACCCCUGGAGGGUGGGCCCCAACAGCCCUGAGCACUCUCCAGCCUCGGAGCACUCGCGCCUCUCCAGAUGCAUCUACCCUCCCUGUCUGGGUGCAUCCCUAUUCCCGGGCUGACCGAGCAUGAGCACAGCUGGGGGCUGGGGCAGGUGUUGAGGGCCCCCUCCCCCCCAUUCCACCCUCCACACAAAUGCUCAGUCCCAGUGACUCAGGAGGAUAGUUGGAAGCAUGCCAGACCUAGACUUGGGAGACCUGGAAUGUGGUCACGUGACGACAGAAGCCCGCUUUGAGGGGACCAAUUCAAGCGAUCCCCAGAGGAGCCUCUUCUCUUUCUCACCCCACCCCUUGAUCCGUCACAGACUUUGGGAGCACGGAGACUCCAGGGAUUCCCGGAGCCCUCAACCAAGUCCGGCCUUUUUGGAAAGCUUGGGAAGCCCCUGGCAGGAUGCUGAGAGGAGGAAGAGCCGAGUGGGAGUGGUGGAGCAAGGGCAGGGUGGCGCAAGAGGACCCCAAAGGCUCUGCCUAUUGUUCAGCCCCCAACACUGGUGUGUUACUGAGAGCGGUCAUUUCUCUCAGCCUGUCCUGCAAAGACGACACCAAGUGCUGGCUCCUCUCCAAAGAGGGGCCUGUGUGCUGAGCCUGAGCCCCUACCGCUCUGGGGUGGUCCCGCUAAGGAUGUCACGAAAACCCUGGCACCACCAUGCCCAGCCAAAAUUAACUUUUGAGGCUGACCUUGAACUUCUGAUCUCCCUGCCUCCACCUGCCCCGGAGGUAGGAUUACAGGUCGUUCAGAUUCUGGGCUUCCCCCAUCCUUUGGCCUGCAGAGCAAAAAGCCGAGCUUCCAGGAGAGGUAUGAGACGGCUGUGGGUGCUCCAGGCCCCUCUCUGCAACUCCUGCAAGUUGCUGCGGACCGGAGGAUGACUGAGACGCAGCCUACUGCCUGUUGACAUCAGAGUUGGCGCUCCCAGGAGCGAGAGGAGGGUUAGGAACCAACAAUUCUUCUCUGAAAAUUCAGUUUAAAAUGGAUUUCAGGAUUUCUUAUUCAGAACACGGACGCUCUCCUUAGUCUCCUGUAGCCCAGGCUGGGAUUGAACUUGGCAUAUAGCCAAGGAUGAACCCGGAUCUCCUCAAGUCUCUCCUCUCCUCCUGUCAAGAGCUGGGAUGUCAGGCCAAUGUCACCACACCUGGCUCUUCCUGGUUUUCAAAUGGAAUUCAAACAAAUCUG
rnacentral:lncRNA from 1 species